rfam:Olsenella profusa F0195 contig00026, whole genome shotgun sequence.
GGGGGUGACUGGUUUCGACAGGGUAGGUCUGAGGCGGGCAGCAAGCCGUGGUCUCCUCGCCACGUUAAACAGGGGUACCGUCAAACUGAAUUGACGACACUGAUUCUUAUGAGCCUCAGCUGGCUCUUGCCGCUUAACUUACUGUAGCGGCCGUCUAACCGGGGGUCUCUCCCGCUUCCGGGGUGACGUCAUCCGAGGGGGAUGCGCGCACGGACGUGGCUGGUAUGCCGCGCGUCAAGACUGAACCAGCUGGGACGCUGACUGUGGGUCACGGGACACGAUGCGUUCGAGAUGGGACACGUGACUGAGCUUGGAGACACCUGCCAGGGAUCUGCUUUGGACCGGAGUUCGAUUCUCCGCACCUCCACCA